rnacentral:ncRNA from 1 species
UAAAUUUAUUUUGAAAUUGAAAUUUGUUAUUAGUUAAUAUAUACAUAUAAUAAUUUAAAUUAAAUAAAAUUUUAAAAAUUUUAAAAGUUUUAAUUAUAUUAUAUAAUUUUUUAAAUAUAAUGAAAUUUAUAUAAGUUAAAUUAAGUAAGGUUAAUUAAAUUUUGUGCCAGCAAUUGCGGUUAGACAAAAAACUUAAACAAAUUGAAAAUAAAUAAGAAUAAUAAGAAUAUAAUUUAUGAGAAUUUUAAAUUUAAGGUGAAAUUUUAUAUUAAUUUUGGAGUAAAUAUAUAAGAAAUUUAAAAAAUUAUAUGUAAAACUAGGAUUAGAUACCCUAUUAUUAUAAUUAAGAGUAAAAGGUUUAAGUAUUUAAAUUUAAGAUAUGUAAAACUUAAGAAAAUUGGCAGUAUUUUAAUCAAUUUAGAGGAACUUGUAUUUUAAUAGAUAAUCCACUAAUAAAAUUACUUAAAUUAUUCAAAUUUGUAUAUCGUUGUUAUAAAAGUAUAUUAAUUAAUUUAAUAAAACUUUAAAAUUUUUAUAGAAAUUUAUAUCAAAUCAAGAUAUAGUUUAUAUUUAAGUUAAUAUGAGUUACAAUUUUUAAUAAAAGUAGAUUUGAAAAUUUAAAUUUCAAAGCAAAAUGGAUUUAAAAGUAAAUUUAUUUAAUUUAAAAAAUUGAUUAUUGUUUUAAAAUAUGUACAUAUUGCCCGUCACUUUCAAUGUUUUAAGUUAGUUAAGUAAAUUUAUUAAUUUAUAUAUUUGAAAUAAGUCGUAACAAAGUAGGAGUACUGGAAGGUGUUUCUAGAAG